GGCGACGUAGCUCAGUAGGCUAGAGCGAGGGUCUCAUAAUCCCUAGGUCGGCAGUUCGAUUCUGCCCGUCGCUA
rnacentral:tRNA from 1 species